rnacentral:rRNA from 1 species
GAUGAACGCUGGCGGCGUGCCUAAUACAUGCAAGUCGAGCGAACAGACGAGGAGCUUGCUCCUCUGACGUUAGCGGCGGACGGGUGAGUAACACGUGGAUAACCUACCUAUAAGACUGGGAUAACUUCGGGAAACCGGAGCUAAUACCGGAUAAUAUAUUGAACCGCAUGGUUCAAUAGUGGAAGACGGUUUUGCUGUCACUUAUAGAUGGAUCCGCGCCGCAUUAGCUAGUUGGUAAGGUAACGGCUUACCAAGGCAACGAUGCGUAGCCGACCUGAGAGGGUGAUCGGCCAAACUGGAACUGAGACACGGUCCAGACUCCUACGGGAGGCAGCAGUAGGGAAUCUUCCGCAAUGGGCGAAAGCCUGACGGAGCAACGCCGCGUGAGUGAUGAAGGUCUUCGGAUCGUAAAACUCUGUUAUUAGGGAAGAACAAAUGUGUAAGUAACUAUGCACGUCUUGACGGUACCUAAUCAGAAAGCCACGGCUAACUACGUG